rnacentral:tRNA from 1 species
GCUCGUUUAGCUCAGUGGAUAGAGCGUCGGCCUCCUAAGCCGAAGGUCGCGGGUUCGACCCCCGCAACGAGUA